GGCGAAAGCUCAGUUGGGAGAGUGUCAGACUGAAGAUCUGCAGGUCCCCAGUUCGAUCCUGGGUUUCGCCA
rnacentral:tRNA from 1 species